rnacentral:tRNA from 1 species
UCCCUCAUAGUUCAGUUGGUAAAGAACUUGCUUGCAUGCAGGAGUCCCAGGUUCGAUUCCUGGGUAGGGAA